rnacentral:rRNA from 1 species
CUGGCUUUCAAUGUUGUUGCACGCCGGAGCGUGUCCUCUCACAUAACACAAUCCAUCUCACCCUUUGUGCACCACCGCGUGGGCACCCUUUGGGAUCGGACCGAUCUCUUAGGGGACUCGCGUUUUCACACAACACCCUUUUAAAAAGUGUAGAAUGACCUCAUUUAUGCGAUCAAUACAACUUUCAACAACGGAUCUCUUGGCUCUCGCAUCGAUGAAGAACGCAGCGAAAUGCGAUACGUAAUGUGAAUUGCAGAAUUCAGUGAAUCAUCGAAUCUUUGAACGCACCUUGCGCCCCUUGGUAUUCCGAGGGGCACACCCGUUUGAGCGUCGUGAAAUUCUCAACCUCCUCGGUUUCUUCUGGAGACUGAAGGAGGCUUGGACUUUGGAGGCCUUUGCUGGCGUGUCUCGCCAGCUCCUCUUAAAUGAAUUAGCGUGGUCCUCUUUGCCGAACCUCGACACGUGAUAAGAUGCUUCCGUGUCUCGGUUUCUGGCUCUGUUGCUUUUGGGACCCGCUUCUAACCGUCUGGACCUUGCGUCGAGACAAUGUUCGAGCUCG